GGGCGAGAACCAUGCAAACUGCCCUGAGUUCCUUGGAAGAAGAGUGGGAUAAAAAUAACCACCACCCUAACUAAAUUUACUAGAUGUUUGCUCACAAAAUUUAAGAGCGCACAUUCUGCUUCAGGACCCCCAAUGCAUAUAAAGAUCUUCUGGAGACGUCCACCUGUGGUUGGCUCCAGCUCAUCUGGUAUCGACUCAGGAUUGGGCCUUUGAACUCCCUGUUGCUGUUGAAAAGAACAGCACAUGCACUCCUGAGCCAGAGCACUGAUUUGCUGAUAGCGUUCCAGAAAUUCCAACUAUGACACACAUGAGAAAGAGAACCCCUUCUGGAAAGAAAACUGACUGAUAUUAAGAAGCAGGGCAAAAGCCAAGAUAAAAAGUGUUCCGGUUCGAGGAGCUCACUGUCCAAGGUGUUGACACAAUGGCAAUCAGAAAGGAACAGAGGAGAAAACACUAGAACACCCAAACUGAGGAAACGCACCACAUGCAAGGGGCAGGGCUAAGCUCUUCGAGGAACUAGUCAAUUCUGCCCGAAUUGUCCCGCUCAGGCGCAGAACCCACUCUUAUGAUUGCAACGAAUCACGAUCCAGA